UUAAGCGACUAAGCGUACACGGUGGAUGCCCUGGCAGUCAGAGGCGAUGAAGGACGUGCUAAUCUGCGAAAAGCGUCGGUAAGGUGAUAUGAACCGUUAUAACCGGCGAUGUCCGAAUGGGGAAACCCAGUGCAAUUCGUUGCACUAUCGUUAACUGAAUACAUAGGUUAACGAGGCGAACCGGGGGAACUGAAACAUCUAAGUACCCCGAGGAAAAGAAAUCAACCGAGAUUCCCCCAGUAGCGGCGAGCGAACGGGGAGCAGCCCAGAGUCUGAAUCAGCUUGUGUGUUAGUGGAACGGUCUGGAAAGUCCGACGGUACAGGGUGAUAGUCCCGUACACCAAAAUGCACAGGCUGUGAACUCGAAGAGUAGGGCGGGACACGUGGUAUCCUGUCUGAAUAUGGGGGGACCAUCCUCCAAGGCUAAAUACUCCUGACUGACCGAUAGUGAACCAGUACCGUGAGGGAAAGGCGAAAAGAACCCCGGCGAGGGGAGUGAAAAAGAACCUGAAACCGUGUACGUACAAGCAGUGGGAGCACCUUCGGGUGUGACUGCGUACCUUUUGUAUAAUGGGUCAGCGACUUAUAUUCUGUAGCAAGGUUAACCGUAUAGGGGAGCCGCAGGGAAACCGAGUCUUAACUGGGCGUUAAGUUGCAGGGUAUAGACCCGAAACCCGGUGAUCUAGCCAUGGGCAGGUUGAAGGUUGGGUAACACUAACUGGAGGACCGAACCGACUAAUGUUGAAAAAUUAGCGGAUGACUUGUGGCUGGGGGUGAAAGGCCAAUCAAACCGGGAGAUAGCUGGUUCUCCCCGAAAGCUAUUUAGGUAGCGCCUCGUGAAUUCAUCUUCGGGGGUAGAGCACUGUUUCGGCUAGGGGGUCAUCCCGACUUACCAACCCGAUGCAAACUACGAAUACCGAAGAAUGUUAUCACGGGAGACACACGGCGGGUGCUAACGUCCGUCGUGAAGAGGGAAACAACCCAGACCGCCAGCUAAGGUCCCAAAGUCAUGGUUAAGUGGGAAACGAUGUGGGAAGGCACAGACAGCCAGGAUGUUGGCUUAGAAGCAGCCAUCAUUUAAAGAAAGCGUAAUAGCUCACUGGUCGAGUCGGCCUGCGCGGAAGAUGUAACGGGGCUAAACCAUGCACCGAAGCUGCGGCAGCGACACUAUGUGUUGUUGGGUAGGGGAGCGUUCUGUAAGCCUGCGAAGGUGACCUGUGAGGGUUGCUGGAGGUAUCAGAAGUGCGAAUGCUGACAUAAGUAACGAUAAAGCGGGUGAAAAGCCCGCUCGCCGGAAGACCAAGGGUUCCUGUCCAACGUUAAUCGGGGCAGGGUGAGUCGACCCCUAAGGCGAGGCCGAAAGGCGUAGUCGAUGGGAAACAGGUUAAUAUUCCUGUACUUGGUGUUACUGCGAAGGGGGGACGGAGAAGGCUAUGUUAGCCGGGCGACGGUUGUCCCGGUUUAAGCAUGUAGGCUGGUUAUCCAGGCAAAUCCGGAUAAUCAAGGCUGAGGUGUGAUGACGAGGCACUACGGUGCUGAAGUAACAAAUGCCCUGCUUCCAGGAAAAGCCUCUAAGCAUCAGGUAACAUCAAAUCGUACCCCAAACCGACACAGGUGGUCAGGUAGAGAAUACCAAGGCGCUUGAGAGAACUCGGGUGAAGGAACUAGGCAAAAUGGUGCCGUAACUUCGGGAGAAGGCACGCUGGUGUGUAGGUGAAGCCCCUGCGGGUGGAGCUGAGACCAGUCGAAGAUACCAGCUGGCUGCAACUGUUUAUUAAAAACACAGCACUGUGCAAACACGAAAGUGGACGUAUACGGUGUGACGCCUGCCCGGUGCCGGAAGGUUAAUUGAUGGGGUUAUCCGUAAGGAGAAGCUCUUGAUCGAAGCCCCGGUAAACGGCGGCCGUAACUAUAACGGUCCUAAGGUAGCGAAAUUCCUUGUCGGGUAAGUUCCGACCUGCACGAAUGGCGUAAUGAUGGCCAGGCUGUCUCCACCCGAGACUCAGUGAAAUUGAACUCGCUGUGAAGAUGCAGUGUACCCGCGGCAAGACGGAAAGACCCCGUGAACCUUUACUAUAGCUUGACACUGAACAUUGAGCCUUGAUGUGUAGGAUAGGUGGGAGGCUUUGAAGCGUGGACGCCAGUCUGCGUGGAGCCAACCUUGAAAUACCACCCUUUAAUGUUUGAUGUUCUAACGUUGGCCCCUUACCGGGGUUGCGGACAGUGUCUGGUGGGUAGUUUGACUGGGGCGGUCUCCUCCCAAAGCGUAACGGAGGAGCACGAAGGUUAGCUAAUCCUGGUCGGACAUCAGGAGGUUAGUGCAAUGGCAUAAGCUAGCUUGACUGCGAGCGUGACGGCGCGAGCAGGUGCGAAAGCAGGUCAUAGUGAUCCGGUGGUUCUGAAUGGAAGGGCCAUCGCUCAACGGAUAAAAGGUACUCCGGGGAUAACAGGCUGAUACCGCCCAAGAGUUCAUAUCGACGGCGGUGUUUGGCACCUCGAUGUCGGCUCAUCACAUCCUGGGGCUGAAGUAGGUCCCAAGGGUAUGGCUGUUCGCCAUUUAAAGUGGUACGCGAGCUGGGUUUAGAACGUCGUGAGACAGUUCGGUCCCUAUCUGCCGUGGGCGCUGGAGAAUUGAGGGGGGCUGCUCCUAGUACGAGAGGACCGGAGUGGACGCAUCACUGGUGUUCGGGUUGUCAUGCCAAUGGCACUGCCCGGUAGCUAAAUGCGGAAGAGAUAAGUGCUGAAAGCAUCUAAGCACGAAACUUGCCCCGAGAUGAGUUCUCCCUGAGACUUUAAGUCUCCUGAAGGAACGUUGAAGACGACGACGUUGAUAGGCCGGGUGUGUAAGCGCAGCGAUGCGUUGAGCUAACCGGUACUAAUGAACCGUGAGGCUUAACCUU
rnacentral:rRNA from 1 species